UGUGUGUGUGUGUGUGUGUGUGUGUGUGUGUGUGUUGAUGACAGGAAGUUACUCACACACAUACACACACACACACAUACACUGU
rnacentral:miRNA from 14 species